AAGCUCGUAGUUGAAUUUCGGGGUUCUACCAUUGGUCGGGCAAUAGUCUGUACUGGUGUGUAGAAUUUCUACCUUCUGGGGAACUAUCAUGUUAUUUAUUUAGCGUGGUAGGAAACCAGGACCUUUACCUUGAAAAAAUUAGAGUGUUCAAAGCAGGCUUACGUCUGAAUGCAUUAGCAUGGAAUAAUAAAAUAGGACGGUGGUCCUGUUUUGUUGGUUUCUGAAUCACCGUAAUGAUUAAUAGGGAUAGUUGGG
rnacentral:rRNA from 1 species